GGAAGGGCUGUGCAGCUCAGUGGCAGAGCAUUCGCUCUGCAUGCAGAAGGUCGCAGGUUCAAUCCUGGGCAUCUCCA